GGAAGGAGGAAACCUUCCUGGUCCAAGUGUCCGAAUUUCUGUUCAGAGGCCACCAUUCCUCCCCAACGCAGCCCACAGACUUCCCAGCAGCUGGCCCUUGCUCAGAAGGUUCUGAAGGGUCUAAGAUUGACAAAGUUCAGAUACAGAUACACCAAUCAGCACCGAGGACUCCCUGGACACUGGACUUUUUCUAGGAAUGGCACACAACACAGCUCAGACCACUGGCAGGAAUUUAGCCAGAUGCAGCUGUGGAGAAGUGGGGCCAGAGUUCCCGGAUCAAGCCAAUCCUGAGGCCCACGUACUUCUGGAUGUCCAGGUCCAAGAACCAAGGAAAACCUUUCGUUUGAGCCACUUGGAUUUGAGUUUGUUGUUGUUUAUAAUACCUUCAAGCCCCUGAGUCAUCAGUGUUUGUGACGUCAC